rnacentral:rRNA from 1 species
CCUACGGGAGGCAGCAGUGGGGGAUAUUGCACAAUGGGGGAAACCCUGAUGCAGCGACGCCGCGUGAGUGAAGAAGGAUUUCGGUAUUGAAAGCUCUAUCAGCAGGGAAGAAAAUGACAGCACCUGACCAAGAAGCCCCGGCUAACUACGUGCCAGCAGCCGCGGUAAUACGGAGGGGGCAAGCGUUAUCCGGAUUUACUGGGUGUAAACGGAGCGUAGACGGUUUUGUAAGUCUGGAGUGAAAGUCCGGGGCCCAACCCCGGGACUGCUUUGGAAACUGGGUAACUGGAGUACAGGAGGGGCAGGCGGAAUUCGUGGUGUAGCGGUGAAAGGCGUAGAUAUCAGGAGGAACACCGGCUGCGAAGGCAGCCUGCUGAACUGACACUGACGUUGAGGCUCGAAAGUGUGGGUAGCAAACAGGAUUAGAUACCCCAGUAGUC